rnacentral:rRNA from 1 species
GAUGAACGCUGGCGGCGUGUCUAAUACAUGCAAGUCGAGCGAACAGAUGAGGAGCUUGCUCCUCUGACGUUAGCGGCGGACGGGUGAGUAACACGUGGAUAACCUACCUAUAAGACUGGGAUAACUUCGGGAAACCGGAGCUAAUACCGGAUAAUAUAUUGAACCGCAUGGUUCAAUAGUGAAAGACGGUUUUGCUGUCACUUAUAGAUGGAUCCGCGCCGCAUUAGCUAGUUGGUAAGGUAACGGCUUACCAAGGCAACGAUGCGUAGCCGACCUGAGAGGGUGAUCGGCCACACUGGAACUGAGACACGGUCCAGGCUCCUACGGGAGGCAGCAGUAGGGAAGCUGCCGCAAUGGGCGAAAGCCUGACGGAGCAACGCCGCGUGAGUGAUGAAGGUCUUCGGAUCGUAAAACUCUGUUAUUAGGGAAGAACAAAUGUGUAAGUAACUAUGCACGUCUGGACGGUACCUAAUCAGAAAGCCACGGCUAACUACGU